AUGAUAAUUUUUUGUGUAUCAAAGAACAAUGCAGGCACUUGAACCAGGGAACAACAGUGCACACGAGUGCGCUUAUCGUACUCAAUAAACACCAGAUGUGGGUUUUUAUUUUCAAAUUCUAAACAAUAAAAUCAUCAAAAGUAAAAACACAUAAGGAAAAAAAAAAUAUGAAAAACAGCUGAAUUUCUUUCAGCUUCGCCACGAAGAAACUGAAAACUACAAAACAUCUACAGAUUCACUGCAGAAAAAUGUGACUUUGGUCAAAUUUAAAACAAAACAAAACCAACAUCUGGAGGACAUAAAACUCAAUGAUAAGCAGAGUGAGUGAACCCACGUGUGAGUAAAAAGUCCGUUUUGAUUAUUUUAAAUGUGUUUCUCUCUGCAUUUUUUUUUUAAUUUUAUUUUAAAGUAUCACCACAUGCCUGUUAUCUUACUGACAUUUUCCAAAAUAUACAACUGGAACAGUGAAUUUUAAAAUGUUACAUUUUUUUCUCUUUUCUUUUAAAUCAUGUUUAUUUUAGUACCCACUUAAAAUCAAUUUAUUGAUGCUUGAGACCAUCUUGGGUCAUUAAACAAUUCAUCUAUUAUUAUAUUUUUCCUGAGGGAUGUUAUUUUAGCUCACUUGAUGGUGCGUUCAUGAUCUUCUCUGUUCAAUGUGCAACUCUGCUGCUGCCAGUUCUUCAUUGCAGCAUUUGAAUGCAUCACCAUCAAACUUUGAAUCACUAAAAAAAAAGUUGACAGGAAAAAACUAAUACACACAUAGUUUGUAGGCUGUGGCAAAAGCCAAGGCAUGUACUCUCUAAAAUAUAAAGUGAAUGAAAAGCUUGAUAAAUAAUCCACCCCUUGCAAUUUUUUAAAAACAUUUAUAGCCUGGUGAACACCAAGUCCACCACUGAUGCUGGUUUGCCAUAAAAAGGAUUAAACCUCAAGCAGGUUUCAAGUAUCAACAAGCUGAUUUCAAUAAUGUAACUCAACGAACCAAACGUAAAGGGUCGAGAGAAAAGAUUUAAAGGGGAAGUUCCAGUGGUAAGUUUUGGGAGGUUUCUAUAUUCAGCAGGAAUAAAAAAAAUAAAAAUAAAAAAAUUCCUAAAUGGUGCUUUAAGACCACAUUCACUGCAGUUUCACACAAAGAUCACACAAAGAUCAUACUCUACUCACCUCUGAGAAGUGAAAUACCCUUUUUCCAGAAAUUACUGGAGGGGAGAACAGCACAGCAGAAGUCAAACUCUAAAUGAAUUAAAGCUGUUUCUUCCAAACUAUA